GGCCAUGAUCAGGCACAGCAGUUGUGCUGGGUUUUGGGGAAUUCCUCCCAGUCCCCAGUGCUGGCCUGUUAGAAUGGCCUACUCCAGCUGCAGGUAUGGUGGCUACCCCUCCCACUGGAAACUCAGUCUGUCUCAGGUUGCUGUCUCAGUCUGUCCAGCCUGCUGCCACUGGCCGGCUGGAAUUCUAAGCCAGUGGGUCUUAAUUUGUGCGGUGCCGUGGGAGUGGGGCCCACAGAACAACACUGCUUGGCUUCCUGGAUUCAGCCUCCUUCUUAGAGGAAUGCACGGAAUCUCUCACCUUGCCUGCAUUCUUGUGGCCGGAGUAUGCAAAACUCCUGGGUGCCUGAGCAAGCAAGUAAGUGAGCAGCUGCUCAGCUGAGACUGUGCACAGCUCUGUGCUUUGGAUCCAAGGCCCUUGUGAUGUGGGCUCAAGAGGGGAUCUCUUGAUCCAUGAGUUGCAAAGAUCCAUAGGGAAAGAGUGGUUUCCUGGGCAGGAUUGCAUAAUCAGUCACUGCCUCCCUUGGCUAGGGGCAUGGACUUCCCUGGUUCCAUGGGACUCCUGGGUGUGCUGUCGCCCUACCCUGCUUUUCCUCACUCUCUGUGGGUCAAGCCAUCUGCCUAGUCAGUCCCAAUGUGAGAACCUGGAUCCUCAGGUUGAAGGUGCAGAAUUCACUGGCCAUUUUGUGAGAGCUGAGACUGCAACUGCUUCUAAUGAGCCAUCUUUGUCCCUCCUCCAAAUUUGGUUUUCUAAGAAUUAAGUUUCUUUUGUCAAGAAGUAUCACAGAAUUGAAAAGCAAAGAACACAUAUGAAAAGCAAAGAACACAUAUAAAAUAUGACAAUAUAAAAAUAUAUUUGUCAUACUUAGGACAGCAUUUUAUAUAUAUAAAUAUGUGUGCAUCUGUCUAGCUAGGUAGUACUAAGACAUAUCAACCUGAAAAUUAAUAUGAAAAAUAGGAAACUUCGUGAAAAAUUUGUCAAAGAAAAUGAAUAGGGAGCUCACAAAAUUGCUAGUUCUGAUCAGUGAACAUUAAAGAAUGCUGAACCUUAUUAGUAAAAUAAAUUCAAAUUGAAGGUAAAAUUAUCUCUUGCUUAUCAGUUGUUAAGAAUUAAAAUUAUUAAAACACCCAGUUUUGGCAACAGUGUGUUAAAAGACAUUCUUUCAUGUAGCCCUGGAAGAUGCAUUGGUGGCACAAAGUUUCUGGAAAGCUAUUUGGCAAUGUGUCAACAUUAAUAUAUCCAUUGACCCAGCAUUUCUACCUUAAGGGUUUACUCAGAAAAUACCUAAACACACAAAGAUGUGCACAUCAUAAGUAUAAGAAUAUACAUUGCAGUUUUAUUUAUAAUUGUAGCAAAUGUGCUAAUAAAUUACAUUUUUCAAUUUAGAAAAUUGUAAGACAUGGGGUAACAAAAUUAUGCCACAUCACUGCAAUAUUGCAUUGCUGUGUACAUUGUAAUUAUGCAGCCAUUUUAAAAGAUGAGCUAGAUCGAUACAUCUUGUCUUGGAAAGAUGCUGUACUGUAUUAUUAAAUGCAGGAUAAUACAUUUAAAAAUUGCUCAAGUUUUAUAAAUAUGUCUCUCUCUAUAUAUUUGUAUAUAGAAGCACAGAAAAUAUUCAGAAGAAAAGACACCAGCCUGCUACCAGUGGAUAUCUCUGGGUCUAUGGGUCCAUGAAGAGACAAAGGCCUUUUGUUUGGGGCUUUUCAGCAGUGAGAUGACUCCCCCUCAUUCCUGAACCUCACCCAGUUCCAUUCUGUAGAGGAAAAUGAAACACUGGGAAGCUGGAGCCCCUUUGCACUUCUUGCUUGCAUUGAGCCAAAAGACAUCAUUUUAAAUAAAUAAGCCAAGUAGUGGAGGAAUAUGUAUAUUUAACAACACAAAACACAUAAUGAGAAGGCAAAAACCAAACUGUUGUGACAGAGGAGAAAGGUAAGGAGAAAGGGGGCACUUUGUCAAUUAGUCAUUGAUGAGAGUGGGGAAUUACCAAAAUCAGACCCACAAAAGUUUCCUGAUACUAUAUUAUUUUGAAAUAGAAGAUUCAGAUGAUUAUUGAUAUUAUAAAAAAACCACAAAGUAACCAUUAGAAGAAAAAUACAGACUUUCCAAUUAUCAGAAGAAGCACAUACACCCGAACAAAACAAACAGCCCAAUAGUCUCAGUUUUAAAAAACGAAUUAUAAAACAGAAAGUAUGUCACA